CCUACGUGUGGCAGCAGUGAGGAAUAUUGGUCAAUGGGCGAGAGCCUGAACCAGCCAAGCCGCGUGAAGGAUGAAGGAUCUAUGGUUUGUAAACUUCUUUUAUAUGGGAGUAAAGUGAGGAACGUGUUCCUGUUUGUAUGUACCAUAUGAAUAAGCAUCGGCUAACUCCGUGCCAGCAGCCGCGGUAAUACGGAGGAUGCGAGCGUUAUCCGGAUUUAUUGGGUUUAAAGGGUGCGUAGGCUGUGAGGUAAGUCAGAGGUGAAAUGCCCCCGCCCAACGGGGUGAAGUGCCAUUGAUACUGCCUGGCUGGAGUGCGGUUGCGGUAGGCGGAAUGUGUGGUGUAGCGGUGAAAUGCAUAGAUAUCACACAGAACACCGAUUGCGAAGGCAGCUCACGAAUCCGCGAUUGACGCUGAUGCACGAAAGCGUGGGUAUCAAACAGGAUUAGAUACCCGGGUAGUC
rnacentral:rRNA from 1 species